rnacentral:rRNA from 1 species
AGAGUUUGAUCCUGGCUCAGCCUGAACGCUGGCGGCGUGGCUAAGACAUGCAAGUCGUACGGGCCUAGCAAUAGGUCAGUGGCGGACGGGUGAGUAAUGUAUCGCUAAUGUACCCUGGACACUGGGAUAGCCGUGGGAAACUGCGGGUAAUACCAGAUGACAUAUCCGAAUCGCAUGGUUUGGAUCUCAAAGGGCAACCGGUUUGGGAGCAGGCGAUAUCGUAUCAGCUAGUUGGUGAGGUAACGGCUCACCAAGGCGACGACGCGUAGCUGGUCUGAGAGGACGACCAGCCACAUUGGGACUGAGACACUGCCCAGACUCCUACGGGGGGCUGCAGUAACGAAUCUUCCGCAAUGCACGCAAGUGUGACGGAGCGACGCCGCGUGGAGGUUAAGUCCUUCGGGAUGUAAACUCCUGUCAGGGGUUACCAAGAUCUGAGGAGCCCCAGAGGAAGGCACGGCUAACUCUGUGCCAGCAGCCGCGGUAAUACAGAGGUGCCAAGCGUUAGGCGGAAUCACUGGGCUUAAAGCGCGUGUAGGUGGAUGGGUAAGUACCUUGUGAAAUCCCACGGCUCAACCGUGGAACUGCUGGGUAUACUGCUUGUCUUGAGGCACUCAGGGGCAGCUGGAACAAAUGGUGGAGCGGUGAAAUGCGUAGAUAUCAUUUGGAACGCCAAAGGCGAAAGCAGGCUGCUGGGAGUGAUCUGACACUAAGACGCGAAAGCCAGGGGAGCAAACGGGAUUAGAUACCCUGGUAGUCC